GCUGGAGGCGGUGCGGCGGGCGGCAGGCGGGGCCCUGUGCCCCAGCGUAGUGUGUGUUCCGGCCGCAGCCUCGCGCCAGCUGCAGCUCCUUGAUCCGAGCCGGAUCCUGAGCGUGGAACACGGGCUGAACCCGCGGCAGCGGCCCCGCCCCGGCACUCCAUUGUUGAGGCUGCCGCGGCUCUGUCGGCUGCUCAGCUGCGCUCCAGUCGGCCCAGGCACCGCGGCGAGGAGCGAGCACUCGGAGGCGGCGGUCUGAGGUGAAAACGGGUAACGAGGUCUCUGGACCGGGCGGCGGUCUCUGCCCCGGGCGUGGCGGCUCCGAGCUGGUCUCCGCAGGGUCCGAGAUCGGGAUCCGGGGUCCUUGCGCCUGGGCUUUGUCUCGGCCUCGGGUGGCACCGGGGGCUUCGCACCUGCUAAGAUACCACGUGGGCCCGCGCGGGGGUCCCGGUCGCCCUGCCGGUGGGGGCCGGUCCCCACUGCUCCCCGGCUCCCCGCGUCUGCCGCGGAGGGGGCUGCAUGGACCCGGGUGCUGGCUUCUGAGCCGAGAUGACGUUACUGCACUCCAGCGUGGGCGACCGAGUGAAACUCCGUCUCGGGGAAAAAAAAACCUGGUCAAGUGUUUUACCCAGCCUAGGUCUCGUUGAGUUGUGUACAACAGAGAGCUCAGGUGUUGGGGGCAGUUGACCGAUUGAAGAAUGCAUUACCAUUAUGUGAGAAACAUUGGCCUUUGAAAAAGCAGAACUGGAUCCACGUUCUUGCCUGGUAACUCUAACUAUCAACUAGUUUGUAAAGGGGAAUGCAGUUCACUGAAAAAUUCUUAUGACAGUGGGGAAAGGAUUGGGGUGUCUGCAUUGGUUUGUGUAAUAUAGGUCAUAUAAAAGAGCUUUCAGGCUGGAGAGAGACUUUUCACCUCUCUAACUUUACUUUCACAGGACAAUUCCAUCAUGAUUUGAAGAUUUUUGAGUGAAAACUACAUUGUUCUGCUAUGUGUUUCGGAGCAAAUUUCUACAUACAAUUUGCUUAAAUAUUUCAGAUGAUACAAGAAUAUAUGUGUGGGGUAAAAAGCUGAAAUUUGCAUUCCCCCUUCUCUAGAAGUAACCAGUGUGAUUAAGUCUGUUUUCCAGCUAUUUUGUAUACUAUAAAUACACUGUGAACAUUUGAGUGUAUAUAGACAUGUAUGUUACACACAGUUUUAGAGAUGGAAUAUUUCUCUGUUGCCCAUGCUAGUCUCAAACUCCUGGGCUCAAGUGACCCUCUCGCCUCAGCCUCCCAAAGUUUUGGAAUAACAGGCAUGAGCCACCGCGCCUGGCCUGCAUGAGUAUAUUUAGUAAUUGCUAAGUUACUCUGUUCAGUACGUGUCUAUUGAAGUCCCCCAUGUACCAAGCAUUAUUCUGAAUACCUUAUAUGCACCAAUUGACUUAAUUUUUAGAGCAGCUCUCUUAUUGUGGCCGUUUUACAGUGAGGAAACUGAACCACAGAGAGGCUGGGGACGUCGUCUAACAUCACACAGCCGGUGCUGUUGGAAUUGAGGUUUGAACCCAGACAGCUGGCUUCAGAUCUCUUAGCUGUUAUCGUAGAUGGCACACCCAAACCUUAGGGCCGCCUCCCAAGCCUUGCCUGAGCUCUGCCUGAGCUCUGCGAGAGCCGUGUAUGUGAGGUUUCUUUCCUCUUUAAGAACACAAGUCUUGGAAUUGUCCCAGACCCUGGUAGGGCCUCUUGAGGACCAAAAACAGGGAUUCUUCAAGCCUGCCCCAAGGGCUAGAUCUCUGAUUUAGCUACUUGGAAGGUAGAUGUAGAAGAGAGUAAUUUUACCAGAACAAAAAGUCAGGAUGGCUGGGCUGACUCGGCCAGAUGCAGUGGCUCAUGCCUGUAAUCCCAGCACUUUGGGAGGCCGAGACAGGUGGAUCACCUGAGGUCGGGAGUUCGAGAGCAGCCUGACCAACAAGUUGAAACUAUGUCUCUACUGAAAAUAUGAAAAUAAGCUGGGCGUUUUGGCGGGUGCCUGUAAUCCCAGGUACUUGGGAGGCUGAGGCAAGAGAACUGCUUGAACCUGGGAUGCAGAGGUGGCAGUGAGCUAAGAUUAUGCCACUGCACUCCAGCUUGGGUGACAGAGCGAGACUUCGUGUCAAAAAAACAGAAGGAAGGGGAAGGGGAAUGCCUAGGCUGACUCAUAGGGAAGAGGCCCUACAGCAGCCGUAGGACCUUGGCCACUUGGGUGGAAAAGAAAGAAGGAAGAGCUUCACCCAUGGCGGUGACCUGGACUGCAGAAACCACACUAAACAGUCCACAUCCUGGAGCCUGGCCAUCCCAUUUGCUUCUCUUCUCCUUGGGUAGAGGGCAUGGGGAGCUUUCUAGCCCGGAGGCUGAGCAGCGCAGCUUCUAACCAGGGUAGGCGUUU
rnacentral:lncRNA from 1 species